UGAGGAAUAUUGGUCAAUGGACGCAAGUCUGAACCAGCCAAGUAGCGUGCAGGAUGACGGCCCUAUGGGUUGUAAACUGCUUUUAUAUGGGGAUAAAGUGGGGAACGUGUUCCCUUUUGCAGGUACCAUAUGAAUAAGGACCGGCUAAUUCCGUGCCAGCAGCCGCGGUAAUACGGAAGGUUCGGGCGUUAUCCGGAUUUAUUGGGUUUAAAGGGAGCGUAGGCCGUUUGGUAAGCGUGUUGUGAAAUGUAGGAGCUCAACUUCUAGAUUGCAGCGCGAACUGUCAGACUGGAGUGCGCACAACGUAGGCGGAAUUCAUGGUGUAGCGGUGAAGUGCUUAGAUAUCAUGAAGAGCUCCGAUUGCGAAGGCAGCUUACGGGAGCGCAACUGACGCUGAAGCUCGAAGGUGCGGGUAUCGAACAGG
rnacentral:rRNA from 1 species